rnacentral:lncRNA from 1 species
AGAAACUCGAGUUCUUUCUUCCAGUUCAUCUUAACACAGCCAGGUGUACUUCUUCCAAAGCCUCUUUGCUGCUGCACUCUGCCAAGACAGCCACCCGUGGGAAGGUGUUCUGAAAAAGAAGGUUGCACAUACAUUAAAAAAAUAAAGGUAGUAUGAUUAGGUCAGUAUCAGAGUUGAAGCCACCAAGUGGUGUAAGCAUUACUUUGACACUCUAUAUGCUGAUCCAUGCUGAGUAAAGGAUUAAAAAUGUAUUUCCACUACUGCUCAUACAUUUCGAUGGUACAUGAUAUCAG